rnacentral:rRNA from 1 species
UACGUAGGGUGCAAGCGUUGUCCGGAAUUAUUGGGCGUAAAGAGCUCGUAGGCGGUCUGUUGCGUCGGCUGUGAAAACCCGGGGCUCAACUCCGGGCCUGCAGCCGAUACGGGCAGACUAGAGUUCGGCAGGGGGGAGACGUGGAAUUCCUGGUGUAGCGGUGAAAUGCGUAGAGAUCGGGAGGAACACCAGAGGCGAAGGCGGCGACCUGGACAAGUACUGACACUCAACUACGAAAGCGUGGGGAGCAAACAGG